rnacentral:rRNA from 1 species
GGAAGGAUCAUUAUCGUACCAUAGAGGUGCUUGGGUUGUCGCUAACCUUUGAAACAAAGGUUGUGCACGCCCAGAGCACUCUCUCAUAUCCAUCUCACCCCUUUGUGCAUUGCCGCGUGGGUCUCCUUGAGGGGCCUGCGUUUUUACAUAGACACCCUUUGAAUGCAUGUGUAGAAUGCCUUACUUUAUGAUCAAUACAACUUUCAACAACGGAUCUCUUGGCUCUCGCAUCGAUGAAGAACGCAGCGAAAUGCGAUACGUAAUGUGAAUUGCAGAAUUCAGUGAAUCAUCGAAUCUUUGAACGCACCUUGCGCCCCUUGGUAUUCCGAGGGGCACACCCGUUUGAGUGUCGUGAAUACUCUCAACCUUCUUGGUUGCUUUGACCAGGAAGGCUUGGACUUUGGAGGUUUUCCUUGCUGGCCUCUUUUUGAAGCCAGCUCCUCCUAAAUGAAUUGGUGGGGUCCACUUUGGUGAUCCUUGACGUGAUAAGGAUUUCUUCUACGUCUUGGGUUUCGCAGUGUAACCGCUUUCUAACUGUCUUUGAAGAAAGACAAUGUUUUAUAAACCUUGACCUCAAAUCGGGUGAGACUACCCGCUGAACUUAA